rnacentral:rRNA from 1 species
UACGGGAGGCAGCAGUGGGGAAUAUUGCACAAUGGGCGCAAGCCUGAUGCAGCCAUGCCGCGUGUAUGAAGAAGGCCUUCGGGUUGUAAAGUACUUUCAGUCGUGAGGAAGGUGUUAAGGUUAAUAACCUUAGCAAUUGACGUUAGCGACAGAAGAAGCACCGGCUAACUCCGUGCUAGCAGCCGCGGUAAUACGGAGGGUGCGAGCGUUAAUCGGAAUUACUGGGCGUAAAGGGCACGCAGGCGGUUAAUUAAGUUGGAUGUGAAAUCCCCGGGCUUAACCUGGGAAUGGCAUUCAAGACUGGUUAGCUAGAGUCUUGUAGAGGGGGUAGAAUUCCAUGUGUAGCGGUGAAAUGCGUAGAGAUGUGGAGGAAUACCGGUGGCGAAGGCGGCCCCUGGACAAAGACUGACGCUCAUGUGCGAAAGCGUGGGGAGCAAACAGGGAUUAGAUACC